UUGUGAAAACAAAUCAAGCUUCAAUUGCAUUCAGUAUAGCUUCGUUACCAUGUUUCCCUGCUGAACAAGGUGGUAGUAAACUAUAGCACUGUUGCAACAAAAAGACUGUCAGACUGGAUGAGGGGGAAGGGGAGAGAAGGAGAGCAAGUUAAAGGGAGAGAGGACGUAAAGAGAGAGGGGGACAGAAGGAGAGUGAGAG